CAUCGGGGCCACCCCCACCUUCUCUCGAAUAACUUCAUUCUUAAUCUUAUCUAACCUGGUGAGCCCGCACAUCCACAUGAGCAUCCUCAUCUCUGCAACCUUCAUUCUCUGAACAUGAGAGUUCUUCACUGGUCAGCACUCUGCCCCAUGCAACAUUGCAGGUCUAACCACAGCUCUAUAAAAUUACCCCUUGAGUUUCUAUGGAACUUUCUUGUCACACAGGACUCCUGAUGCAAGCCUCCAGUUUGACCACCCCGCUCCUAUACAAUGAGUGAUGUCCCCGUCAAUCUCUCCAUCCCCCUGAAUCACCG
rnacentral:lncRNA from 1 species